UCUGACACCCACUUUGAACCUGAGAGCUGACGAGCGGGGGUUGUGUUUAUUUCCUCUCCGUUAAUUAUGUCGAAAACAGGGAGAGCCGGUGGCCCUCAGCGGCCGACAAAAACAAUUACUGUAUACAGAAACGGGGACGCCUUUUUUCCCGGGAAGAGGAUAGUGGUGAAGCAGAUAACUUUCGACAGUUUUUUGACUGCUUUGACUUGUGGGCUUGAUGCUCCUUUCGGCGCUGCCAGGAAUUUGUACACACCGAGACACGGACACAAAGUUUUGGACUUGGACGACCUGCAGCAUGGCAGUACCUACGUUGCAGCAGGAGGAGAGAGGUUCAAAAAACUUGACUAUUGGCAUAUUACAUCCAAGAAACCACAGAAAAAGAAGAAUGAGCAGAUCCAGCCUGUAGUUCACAGCAGAAUAGUAGUUCCUGCUCGCUGGAAGAGAAUCAGUGAUGGGUCAUGCACUAUCAAUGUUUUUACCAAUGGCGAGAUUUUGGUUCCUCCAGCUCGGAUACAGAUCCCAAAGUAUACUCUCAAAAGCUGGGAAAACGUCUUAGCCAUGGUAACAGCAAAAGUGCAUCUUCGCACCGGUGCUGUGUACAGGCUUUGCACAUUAGAUGGACGUCCUCUCCGCGGCCUCUCUGAGUUGGAGAACAACAAGCACUAUGUCGCUGUUGGUGCAGAUAAAUUUAAAGCCCUACCUUACAACCUGUGUGUACCCAGAAGGGGAGUAAUCACAGAAAAGGACCUGAUCCAGGGCAUCAGUCAAGACAACCUGCCCUUGCCUAGGAAGACAGCACACGUAAAGGAUGUGUUUGCUCACACAGGCUUUAGAGAGGACCUUGAGCACACAGCCAGGGGCCAGAUGAAGAAACACACAGCCAAGCCAGAGAGAGCCAAACAACAGAGGCAGGUGUCCAGAAUCCCACUUCUCCUCUCAACAGGGGAGGGCAGCGUGUUCAAUGCAAAAAACAAAAGGAGGGAGGUGAUGGGAGCUGCAGAGGUGGAGGAAGAUUGCCAGCUGAAGGUGGAUCUGCCAAUUGAUCAGGUUGAGGCCCAGGUGGUUGAAGAGGAGUGUGAACAUGGGUCUUGUCGUUCUGCCAGCCCAUCCGAGGCCUCCCACUGCGGUUCAGACGGCUCAUGUCCACACAGCUCGAUGUCUGCAAGUUGCAUGAGGGAUGAUACUAAAGAGGAGGAGGUGUCUUCUAAGCUCUGCAGAAUACGGUCACGGGUGUGCUGAAUUUUCAAGGAACAAAGUAAAAAGUCACGUUCCUUGCUUUGAUCUACAUGCCAUGUAUUCAAAAGCCCUGCUGUGCCUCUCGUUCGGCUAGCACCCUGUCCAGAUCACUCGCUGUGCUGGAGUUACAGUAGAGUGACCUUAACUCACAAGCCACAGGAGCACUGACUGGAUUCAAUCCGUGAUCACCAGCCUCCACAUAUGUUGCCCAAGUGCUGUGGGACUCAUUUAAUUGUAAUUAUUUUAUUAGCCUAUACAUUAAACAGUGACUGUGUCAGUCUUUGUGGCAGUCAUUGUUUUACAUACAGUGGCCUUAACUGACUGUGAUGCACUGACACACUUUGAAAAGGGUUGUACAAAUGUAUUUAUUUAUUUACUUAUAUA